rnacentral:rRNA from 1 species
GACGAACGCUGGCGGCGUGCUUAACACAUGCAAGUCGAACGGAAAGGCCCUGCUUUUGUGGGGUGCUCGAGUGGCGAACGGGUGAGUAACACGUGAGUAACCUGCCCUUGACUUUGGGAUAACUUCACGAAACUGGGGCUAAUACCGGAUAGGAGCUCAUGUUGCAUGGUGGGGGUUGGAAAGUUUCGGCGGUUGGGGAUGGACUCGCGGCUUAUCAGCUUGUUGGUGGGGUAGUGGCUUACCAAGGCUUUGACGGGUAGCCGGCCUGAGAGGGUGACCGGCCACAUUGGGCCUGAGAGACGGCCCAGACUCCUACGGGAGGCAGCAGUGGGAAAUAUUGCACAAUGGGCGGAAGCCUGAUGCAGCAACGCCGCGUGCGGGAUGACGGCCUUCGGGUUGUAAACCGCUUUCGCCUGUGACGAAGCGUGAGUGACGGUAAUGGGUAAAGAAGCACCGGCUAACUACGUG